rnacentral:rRNA from 1 species
GAUGAACGCUGGCGGCGUGCCUAACACAUGCAAGUCGAGCGAAGCAUUUUAAAGGAAGUUUUCGGAUGGAAUUUGAAAUGACUGAGCGGCGGACGGGUGAGUAACGCGUGGGUAACCUGCCUCAUACAGGGGGAUAACAGUUAGAAAUGACUGCUAAUACCGCAUAAGCACACAGUACCGCAUGGUACAGAGUGAAAAACUCCGGUGGUAUGAGAUGGACCCGCGUCUGAUUAGCUGGUUGGUGAGGUAACGGCCCACCAAGGCGACGAUCGGUAGCCGGACUGAGAGGUUGAACGGCCACAUUGGGACUGAGACACGGCCCAG